rnacentral:rRNA from 1 species
AGAGUUUGAUCCUGGCUCAGAACGAACGCUGGCGGCGUGCUUAACACAUGUAAGUCGAACGCGAAAGGGACUUCGGUCCCGAGUAGAGUGGCGCACGGGUGAGUAACGCGUAAGUAAUCUACCCCUGUAUCUGGAAUAACCCACCGAAAGGUGAGCUAAUACCGGAUACGUUUAUCUUGAUGCGAAUGAUGAUAAAGAAAGGUGGCCUCUUCAUGAAAGCUACCGUACAGGGACGAGCUUGCGUACCAUUAGCUGGUUGGUAGGGUAAUGGCCUACCAAGGCGACGAUGGUUAGCGGGUCUGAGAGGAUGAUCCGCCACACUGGAACUGAAACACGGACCAGACUCCUACGGGAGGCAGCAGUGAGGAAUAUUGCGCAAUGGGGGCAACCCUGACGCAGCGACGCCGCGUGGACGAUGAAGGCCCUUGGGUCGUAAAAUCCUGUCAGAUGGAAAGAAAUGUACAGGUGUUAAUAUCGCCUGUAUUUGACGGUACCAUCAAAGGAAGCACCGGCUAACUCCGUGCCAGCAGCCGCGGUAAUAC